AACGAACGCUGGCGGCGCGCCUAAUACAUGCAAGUCGAGCGAGAAGACGUAGCAAUACGUUUGUAAAGCGGCGAACGGGUGAGGAAUACAUGGGUAACCUACCCUCGAGUGGGGAAUAACUAGCCGAAAGGUUAGCUAAUACCGCAUACGACUCUCGGUCUGCGGAUCGAGAGGGAAAGCGAUACCGUGGGUAUCGCGCUCAUGGAUGGGCUCAUGUCCUAUCAGCUUGUUGGUGAGGUAACGGCUCACCAAGGCUUCGACGGGUAGCUGGUCUGAGAGGACGAUCAGCCACACUGGCACUGCGACACGGGCCAGACUCCUACGGGAGGCAGCAGUAAGGAAUAUUGCGCAAUGGGCGACAGCCUGACGCAGCGACGCCGCGUGGGGGAUGAAGGUCUUCGGAUUGUAAACCCCUUUCGGCAGGGAAGAUGGAACGGGUAACCGUUCGGACGGUACCUGCAGAAGCAGCCACGGCUAACUUCGUGCCAGCAGCCGCGGUAAUACGAAGGUGGCAAGCGUUGUUCGGAUUUACUGGGCGUACAGGGAGCGUAGGCGGUUGGGUAAGCCCUCCGUGAAAUCUCCGGGCCUAACCCGGAAAGUGCGGAGGGGACUGCUCGGCUAGAGGAUGGGAGAGGAGCGCGGAAUUCCCGGUGUAGCGGUGAAAUGCGUAGAGAUCGGGAGGAAGGCCGGUGGCGAAGGCGGCGCUCUGGAACAUUUCUGACGCUGAGGCUCGAAAGCGUGGGGAGCAAACAGGAUUAGAUACCCUGGUAG
rnacentral:rRNA from 1 species